UUUUUUUUUUUUUUUUUGCAAAAAUGUAAUACCAGUAUCAAACAAAAAUGCAUGAUGAUUCAUAAUGGCUCCCAAUAUCCUAUGCGGCUAACUCAAAAAUUUUUUUUAAAAAAAUUGAGAUUAUCCAUGUACAUAGUCAGCAGAAUUAAAACAAUUCUUUUGCGAAAAAUGUUAAAUAGUUUUACCUAGAGCAGUUCUCUUUGAAAAUUAUUUACCCUAGCAGUUAAUUAUGCACUGUUUCCCAAAAUCAUGUUUCAGUCUAUGCAGAUCUCAGAGCAUGGAAAGCAAAGCAUCUAUUUGUAUAUGCAAGGCUUUUUAUUUUAUUUUUUUAUUUUCACAGUUUUGAAUCAUUGCCUUCUUCCAAUUUUCCACUCAUAAGACACAAGCAAGUAUGAUUUAAGUGUCACAUGAGUUGUUCUUGUAUUUGUGCACAUGCGCACAAGAAAGUGUGUGUGUGUGUGUGUGUGUG
rnacentral:misc_RNA from 1 species